rnacentral:rRNA from 1 species
UACGGAAGGCAGCAGUGGGGAAUAUUGCACAAUGGGCGAAAGCCUGAUGCAGCUAUGCCGCGUGUAUGAAGAAGGCCUUAGGGUUGUAAAGUACUUUCAUCGGGGAGGAAAAACAAAACUAAUAAUUUUAUUUCUUGACGUUACCCGAAAAAGAAGCACCGGCUAACUCCGUGCCAGCAGCCGCGGUAAUACGGAGGGUGCUAGCGUUAAUCAGAAUUACUGGGCGUAAAGAGCACGUAGGUGGUUUUUUAAGUCAGAUGUGAAAUCCCUGGGCUUAACCUAGGAACUGCAUUUUUGAAACUGAAAUACUAGAGUAUCGUAGAGGGAGGUAGAAUUCUAGGUGUAGCGGUGAAAUGCGUAGAUAUCUGGAGGAAUACCUGUGGCGAAAGCGGCCUCCUAAACGAAUACUGACACUGAGGUGCGAAAGCGUGGGGAGCAAACAGGGAUUAGAUACC